rnacentral:tRNA from 1 species
GAGGGGAGGUUGAACCAGCAGAGACUGCUAACUUCUGCAUCUGAGUAUAAACCCUCAGCCCCCUUA